UAGGGAAUCUUCCACAAUGGACGCAAGUCUGAUGGAGCAACGCCGCGUGAGUGAAGAAGGUUUUCGGACCGUAAAGCUCUGUUGUUGGUGAAGAAGGAUAGAGGUAGUAACUGGCCUUUAUUUGACGGUAAUCAACCAGAAAGUCACGGCUAACUACGUGCCAGCAGCCGCGGUAAUACGUAGGUGGCAAGCGUUGUCCGGAUUUAUUGGGCGUAAAGCGAGCGCAGGCGGAAGAAUAAGUCUGAUGUGAAAGCCCUCGGCUUAACCGAGGAAUUGCAUCGGAAACUGUUUUCUUGAGUGCAGAAGAGGAGAGUAGAACUCCAUGUGUAGCGGUGGAAUGCGUAGAUAUAUGGAAGAAUACCAGUGGCGAAGGCGGCUCUCUGGUCUGCAACUGACGCUGAGGCUCGAAAGCAUGGGUAGCGAACAGGAUUAGAUACCCUGGUAGUCCAUGCCGUAAACGAUGAGUGCUAAGUGUUGGGAGGCUUCCGCCUCUCAGUGCUGCAGCUAACGCAUUAAGCACUCCGCCUGGGGGCAGUACGAC
rnacentral:rRNA from 1 species